rnacentral:rRNA from 1 species
UACGGAGGGUGCAAGCGUUGUCCGGAUUUAUUGGGUUUAAAGGGUGCGUAGGCGGCCAUUUAAGUCUGGGGUGAAAGCCCGUUGCUCAACAACGGAACUGCCCUGGAAACUGGAUGGCUUGAGUACAGACGAGGGUGGCGGAAUGGAUGCUGUAGCGGUGAAAUGCAUAGAUAGCAUCCAGAACCCCGAUUGCGAAGCAGCUGCCUAG